AUGAUGAUUUUCCUCUUCCAGCACUGGGUCUUGCUGGCUGUAGACUUGUUCCUUGCGAUGACCCUUUCCUGCCUCCUUUAUGCCUUUGUGUUUGUUUCCGUCGUCUUUUUGGCCUGCUGCAUUAUCUUCUUGUCCUUCGGCAUUGUGGAGAAGAACAUUGACGUAAAAGGGAGAGCAAUUGUCAUUCUCGUGUCCAACAGCUCCAUUGGGAGGACAUUUGCCAGGAACCUGGAUAAAGCAGGUUUUAGGGUGUCUGCUGCACACUGGCCUCCUCGAGAGGAGGGGAUGACCACGAAAGAAGAGUGCUCUUCGAGCAUGGAGGUAGCACAGCUCCACAUGACUGACGAUGAGUACCAGAAGACAGUGAAAACCUUCAUAGAAAGCCACUUGUCCCUGAAAGGCCCUGCGCAGGACAGCUGUGCUGGAAGGCAGAGCACUCACCAGGAGCCGCCCCUGCUGCAGGCACCCCCAGAGACACGGCAUGUACGGGCUGAUGAAGAAGCCGUCAAUCUUGAUAUGGGAAGAAGAGGAGCCAGACACAUGCAGGUCACCCGGGAGAAAAACCUCUUACACAUGGAAAAGGGUUUUCAAGAGCCCAGCCCUCUGUGUCGCUGUCCUCUUCUGCCCACUGAACUGUGCCCUGACUUCCCUGAAGAAGAGAGCUCUGCAGCUCCUUGUGCCCCUGAAGCCCAAAAACUGAGAGGUGGUCGCAAACAGUUUGGUUAUUUGUGGAAGUAUUUUUCCAGGAACCGAAGCUAAGCUGACAGGUCUGUAACUGCCAACCUGCCAUUUAGCACCACUUCUGUACCAACGAGCUCGAGCCCGCACCUCGUAGCACCGGGCUCUGCUCCAACAGACCACUUUAGCACGCACUUAAUUGCAAGAGAGAGAGACGUCUGUGGCUGCAGGGGGGAGGAGUCGCACGGCUAACGUUACACGUGUGCUUGGAUAUUCCUCCAGCUCCUAACCAUAGGCACACCAAGGAAGCCCCCCCAAACCAAGCCGAACAAAGACAAUACACGUCUUCAUACAGUGCUUAUGACUUUAUGAGUGCAAAUACCAAUAAAUAUCAAACAU
rnacentral:lncRNA from 1 species